UACGUAGGCAGCAAGCGUUGUUCGGAGUUACUGGGCGUAAAGGGUGUGUAGGUGGCUUUUUAAGUCCGCCGUCAAAUCCCAGGGCUCAACUCUGGACAGGCGGUGGAAACUACCAAGCUGGAGUUCGGUAGGGGCAGAGGGAAUUUCCGGUGGAGCGGUGAAAUGCGUAGAGAUCGGAAAGAACACCAACGGCGAAAGCACUCUGCUGGGCCGACACUGACACUGAGAGACGAAAGCUAGGGGAGCGAAUGGG
rnacentral:rRNA from 1 species